CCUCCUUUCUAAGGAAACAAUUAUCAUCUUCAGUUUUGAGAGACUUAAGAAAGUUUUUCAUUGUCACUUGCUUGCAAAUUGUAUUUGCAACAUUUUAAUCUUUUUAAGAUUAAGGGCCUAUAGCUCAGUUGGUUAGAGCACACGCCUGAUAAGCGUGAGGUCGGUGGUUCAAGUCCAUUUAGGCCCACCAUAACCACAAAUAGGCAAAAUCUUAAAAAAGCUCUUUGAAAAGUAGAUAAACGAAGGUUAAAAAAUCAAAGGAACUAAGG
rnacentral:misc_RNA from 1 species